GAAACCCUAGCGGCGGCGUCGUCGUCGUCGUCGUCUCCGGCGGAGGAGCUCUCGGCGGCGGAGGAGGAGUGGCUGAGGAAGCUCCCGGACAAGAAGAAGCCGCUGUACUCGCACAGCCUCCCGUGCAUCGAGGCGUGGCUGCGGCACCUAGGGUUCCGGCGGAGCCGCGACGACCGCGCCGUGUGGCUCGCCGAGAACCCCCUCUGGCACGCCCAGCUCUCCCUCGACGUCACCGAUCUAUACAUCAGGUCCCCAUCCUUCCUCUUCUCCUCCAAAUCCUUAUGUGCUUGAAUUCGAAACCCUAAUCAUUCAUACAUGCCUCAGCUGUUCUUGUGCUAAAUAUUUAGUUCAAUUCACCGUAAACUGAAUCAACGAAUUUCACGUUUACGAUUGCGUCCACGAAGCCGAGAAGUAGUAAAAGAAAGAAUUCGCCUGUAAUGACUAUUUUGAUGCACAUAUCAAGUGAUGUGAAUCAGCCACAAAUAAGAUUUUAGACCGUAAAUCACUUGCACUGAAUGUACAUGACCUAGAUGAGUUUUCGCAUCAGACAUGCUUUUACUUUUCCCAGGCUCGGUAUUGAACUUGGCAUUCUACAACAAUUCAGUAGUGGUGCCAGUAGUUUGAAAUUCUAUCCAAUCUAUUUAGUGUUUGUUCGGCACUAGUUAUCAUUUCUAGUAGAGCGUUUGGUAGACGAAAAGGUCUAGUGCUUCUGUUUCAUGUUAAAUAAUAUGAAACAACCGUUAUUUUCUAAAAACUUAAACCGGUAAAGAACGGUGUUUAAAUAACCACCCNCAUAUUACAUGACUAAGUUUGUUGCUGUUUCUGUUUUCUCUGUUUACUGAAUUGCUUGUUUUUGUGCUAUGGAAAAUACUCUAUAAUAAAUUUGUAAAUUCUUGAUUGUAGAGGCUGGUGGAUCGUAAGCGCUAAUUAACUGUUUCAAAAACACGUACUAAUUGGAAGGACGCAUCCAUCGCACUUAAGGACUCAAUCAUAGCGCUCACGAAUUUCGACCUAACUCAAUUCAUCUGAACGUUAGGUCUAUUCUUAGGCCUCUUGUCGUUAGGUCUCUUUCAGACCGCAGCCCCACUGAACUUAUAAGGCUCACCCAACUUAAUUUAUUAGUCUUCUGGGCUUAUUAUUACGGAGCAAAAAAAUUAGACAUACUUUAGCCCAAUAACAAAUAACCAAGAGAGGUGUAUAAGUUCAGAUUUUAGUUUUUAAUUAUGAGAGAAGCUGCGGAAUAGUAAUAACUGAAACUGUCAGGGGUAAUUUUGCAAGAUAGCCACAGAUUAAUAAUUUCGAGUGAAAAAAGAGAAAUUGCUGAACACAACAUUGUGUAACAAAGAGAAACCUAAAAUUAACAUACUUAGGAUUGCAAUUUUACAGCUUAGUCCAUCUAAAGACUAUAAUUGACACACUAGUCUUAUCAAUUUUUUAAAAAAUUGAAAAACAAACAGUGUUGUUUAAACUCUAUUUCAAUCUUUGUGUGCUUAGCACUUAACCAUCUUAUAGAAUUUGUAAAUAAAAUAAUAAGAAAUCCUUAAAUUAUUAUUUCAAAUACUAACUAUUUGUAUAGUGAGAAUAACAAUAAUUCCCUAGCGGGAACUUAUCUCAAAAUAGUCAACGGUUGAGGGGUCUCCAUUCAUUACAAAAAAUUCAAAAUUAUAAUUUCAAAUAAAACUUUUUUGGUGGUUUGAAAUUAUAUAGAGACUCUCUGAACAACUCGAUAGACACUGGCUUAAUUUUUAUUUUUUUAUUUGAAUUUUUCUGGUAAAUAAGUGAAAAGGAAAAUCUAGUUAAUUUGCUACUAAGUAGUUUAAACUAAAAAAUUUCAUGAUAUUAUUGAUUUAUUUAGCAAAAAUCACUAAAUUCCAAAAAUUUAAAAGUUAAGGGAGUUCUCAACGAAAAUAAUAGUUCAGGGGCCAUUUCAGAAUUAGCUAUAAAUGAGUUAUGAGCGGUGUCCAUGCAUUUUCCCAAAAAAAAUAUUAAACAAAAAUUUCAGGUCCUAAUCGCAAAAUACAUUAUAUUUGAGGGGCCUCCACCCAAUUUUCCACCAAACGUAACGAAACGAAACUUUUUAAAAAAUAUUUUAUAUAUAUAUAUAUAUAUAUAUAUAUAUAUAUAUAUAUAUAUAUAUAUAUAUAUAUAUAUANGCGGCUCUCGAGGAGGCGGCCUCUGCUGCUGCUGCUGCUGCGGCGGCGAUCCCAAAGGGUGGAGGAAGGGGCAGCGGAGGCGGAGCGAAGGCUGGUGCCGAGGCUGCUGGGGUGAUCCCAAAGGGGCGAGAGGGAGGGGGCGGAGGCGGCGGUGGGUGCUGAUGAUGAUGGUGAUGAUCCUGAUGGCGAAUUCCCCUGAUCCCAAUCCCAAUCCCAAGCGGAGGAGGAGUGGCUGAGGAAGCUCCCGGACAAGAAGAAGCCGCUGUACUCGCACAGCCUCCCGUGCAUCGAGGCGUGGCUGCGGCACCUAGGGUUCCGGCGGAGCCGCGACGACCGCGCCGUGUGGCUCGCCGAGAACCCCCUCUGGCACGCCCAGCUCUCCCUCGACGUCACCGAUCUCUACAUCAGGUCCCCAUCGUUCCUCUUCUCCUCCAAAUCCUUAUGUGCUUGAAUUCGAAACCCUAAUCAUUCAUACAUGCCUCAGCUGUUCUUGUGCUAAAUAUUUAGUUCAAUUCACCGUAAACUGAAUCAACGAAUUUCACAUUUACGAUUGCGUCCACGAAGCCGAG
rnacentral:lncRNA from 1 species